UUGUAGUCCUAUAUACGAUUUCGAACAAGGACACGAAACAUUCUAAAAACCGAGCACGGAUUCCCUUCGAAGCGUUAUAUGUCGAGUAUUCUUGCGGUCAGUAAAUACGCUGCUCUGGUGACAGUGUAUACAUCGUGCUCGCUACACUCUGUUUUUCCCGAAUGUAACUUCUCUCGUGUGUACUCUCGCUUCCAGGGAUCACCGGUAUGAAACACAACCGUAUGCGUUUCACGAGAUGUAAAUAUUUACGCCGCUGGCCCUUGGAUAUAUUACAUCGAAAUUCUAGAGAGAACGGUCGCGGUUCUUUUUGCGUCGCGAACUUAACCUCUUCUGUACGCGCUGUAUUUUCGUGACGCGAGUUUUUUACGCUGUUCGCGCCUUAAUAUCGUACUCGUCAUAAAUUUCGAUGACACAUCGAGCGUAAUGUUCGUUCCUAACGCGAUCGCGAAUCUCUUUCGAAUAUAUGUGGACGUGAACUCGUGAGUACUGUUCGUGAGAAUAAAAAUUCGUGGACAACGAUCCCGCAAUAGGUAUGUAAGCGGGCUUAGAGCGUCAUUUUCAAUGUCGCAGUCGUACCAACUGUUCGAGAAAGAAUGCAGUCACACGAUGAAAUUUAUUUGGAAUCGAAACGCUAUUCUGGACUUGUGACGCGAUGACGUGAAUACGUAGUCCGCAGCUGGCAAGACCGGCUGAAGAGGCAGAGGAAAGGAACAACGAAGAAGCUUCGCAGAGGUGCAGAAUCCGAAGAAUGCCUCGUCAUCUUGAAGAACCGCUCCAGAGAUUCAUGCCGGACGUAGACAAAUGCGCGGUUACCGAUCCUGAUUCGACGAUAUAGCUGGCGAAGUCAGAAAGUCAGGGACGUCGAUUACAAAAGGAAUCCGAAGGAUGGAGUGACGACGAGCCUCGCGAUAACGAGACACGGACUAACCGUUCAAAAGACUACUAUCCUGAUCCUGCAAGGACGAUAUGUCACGUGGUUUUGCAAUAGAGGGGAUACUAUUACAUGCUUACCCCAAAAUCUGCUCGCCUAAUACAAAACUGGUCGUCUGCUUGAAUUUUCGAUUGACGAGUAUUCGACAGCCGAUCAACAGCAACUAAUAUAUUCUUUAAAAAUAAUUAUAUGACAGGGAGCGAUACUGGUGUACGUGACUCAGCUACGCAUGUCAAGCGAAUCGAGCGAACCAGUUGCUUUUCCAUAAUAUCCAGGCAACAGGCCGGAGGCUACAGCUUCCAGCAUCCACCUCUGGAUCAACGCGGGCAUAUGGAGUAAACAAGCAUGACAUGGUAUACAUUCCUGGUAGCAUCGAAACACAAUGAGAUGUCGUAAACGCAAGAAGAUGACAGAAAAUCGAUAGGACGCCUUCCAGAUCUGAACCGACUUGCUCCUUACGAUUCUUCGCUGCUUUCUUUCAUGCUCGAAUAAACAUAGUAACGUGAUGCUGACCUGAUAUUUUUCAGACGUUGCGUGUCUUACUGCUCUCUUCUUUCAUACUCGACACUAUGCGUCAAAAAAAUAUUGAGUCGCAAUAAUAUGUAUUGGUGAAUUGGAAACUAUUACUACCCUCGAUACUAUCCUGUUACGGUGACACGUCAUAGUCGUCAUGUCUCGACAAUUUGAUGUGAAAUCGAUAAAUUGCUCGAGGCCUGUUUCCUUUACAAAUACACAUUGUACACAUGUCUUUUAUCCGUAAUUCUGUGCAAGAAUAUAUUAUUGCGUAUAUCAAACAGGUGGAUAAAACCCAUGUGAUUGAAACAGUAAUAUUUAAAUAAUAAAGUGCAAAGAACGCAUAUCUUAGUAUGUAUUUUUUUUUAAUAAAUAUCUUUAUUAGCAUGUACAGAAAAAAUUAUAGAUUAAACAAAUAAUUUUUUAGAGUGGGAAAGUAUAUAACAUUAUGUAGUACAACGAUAUGAAGAAAAGAAAUCUUGAGACGGAAUGGUUCACCCUAACUUCGACAAAUACGUUUGCGUGCCUUAGUAUCGAUUUCACGUCAGUUUCAUGUCAUAAAGACGUCAAACACACGGUUUUCAUCAGGACAACAUCCUCGGCUUGAAUUUACGACCACUGGCAAGCAACAGGUCCCGCGGGAACGAGUCCUCUCACAUGCAAAGAGAAUCCAAUUUCCCUUCACUUUUGUCAAACUAAGACUAUAUCAACAAUUUCUUUUCAUAUAACGCACUUGUUUGUUAAUAAACCAACACUCUGUUCCAUAAUUAAACUCUUAAAAUUUAAACAACACCAAUGAAAAAUAGAAAUUAAAAAAUA